UGCUCACUCAGUGUGAGGUAGUAGAUUGUAUAGUUUUAAGGUUGUGAUUGUUUGCCCUGCCUAGGAGAUAACUAUACAACCCACUGCCUUCCCUGGAGAGUGG
ensembl:miRNA